rnacentral:lncRNA from 1 species
CCUUUUUUUUCGUCUAAAUAUUUGCCUCCUAUUGCAAUUAAGUUUUUUUAGCUUUUGGAUCAAUUUAUUUGAUCAUUUCUAAUCAUUAGAUUAAAUAUUAUAACUCAGUGAGGACCACUCAGGGAGUAAAAUCAUCCUAAUCUUUCAAUUUUUCAUCUAAGGGUUAAAAACUAGACUGAAAUACUAUCAAUAGCACCAAACUAUUGGUGCUCUUAAUUUUUUAGCACUUGAAUUGAGAAAUAUGUGGUUAGAAUGAUGUAGACCCUUAGGGUUGAGUAAGUGGUUGGUUGAAUAGUAUAAUCUAAACGGAUAAAAAUAAUUAAAAGAUUAAAUCUAAUGGUGGAAAACUUGAUAGCACCAAAUCCUUGGUGCUAUCGAUAGUACCCCAGCCGGACUCAUAUAUUGUUCGGCUGUAAUACUAUUGAUAGCACGAAGCAUUUGGUGCUAUCAAGUUUUCUGCCGUUAGAUUUACUUUUUUUAUCAUUUUCAUCCGUUCGAUUAUACUAUUUAACCAACUCCCCACUCAACCCUAGGGGGCUCAUAUCAUUCUAACCACACAUCUUGUAAUCCAAUGGCGGAAAACUUAAUAGCACCAAGUAAUUGGUGCUAUUAAUAGUCUUCCAGCCUAGUUUUAUAUAUAUAUAUAUAUAUAUAGAGAGAGAGAGNAAGAUCAAGAAAUGUUAACCUUAAUCUAGAUAGUUUAAAGUAUUUUUUAUCAAAAUUUGAAGAAAUUUAAAUUCUUCUACACCGUUAAACUCCAAACUCGUCAUAAUAGCUAUUGAAAAUUGACAAAUUUGAAAUAAUUUGAUCAUAAAGUAAAUUAUGUCGAGAAAAUAUAAAAUUUUAUUUCUAAAAACUUUAAAUACCUUAUAUUAGUUUUAACGGUGUGAAUCGUUGAUUUGAACACCCUAAGAUCGAAAAUAAGAUUAUAGUCCCAGAGGCCCGGUACUAUAGAUAGUAUAGGAGACUAGCUCUUUCUCUCUCUCUCUCUCUCUCUCUCUCUCUCUCUCUCUCUCUCUCUCUAUAUAUAUAUAUAUAUAUAUGAGUGAGGCUACUCUGCUUCUGGAAGCACGGUGCCUUCCGUGCUUCUAGAUCAUUUUUAAUGUUGCGACUUUUGAAUCGUCGAUCGGCUCUAUUAAUUUGAUCUAGAGUAUUUGAAGUAUGUAGAAAAUAAAUUUUACAAUUUUUCAAUAUCAUUUGCCUAGUGAACUAAGGGGCUCAAAAACAACGGUUGAAAAUAAAAAUCUUACAAAACGUGAUAAUAUUACAUUAAAAUUUUAGAUCAAAAAUAUUGAUCUUGUUUUAUAUAGUAUAAAGAAUUUUCUAUCAAAAUUUCACGUGAUUUGGAUAUUUCUACACCGUUAAACUUGUAAACGGCUCACCACGGCCAUUAAAAUUAUUGAUUUUGAGUCCCUUCGAUCACUAGGCAAAUGAUAUCGAAAAAUUGCAAAAUUUAUUUUCUAGAUACUUCAAAUAAUUUAGAUCAAGUUUAACGGAACCAAUCGACGAUUCGAAAGUCGCAACAUUGAAAACGACAUGAAAGCAUGGAAGGCUCGUGCUUCCAGAAGCAUGGAAGGCUCACUCUAUAUAUAUGAAUAUAUAUGUAUAUAAAAGUAAAGUUAUGUAUUAUAGGAGCGCAACAAUCCUUAUUCUCUUAACUUCUCAACCAUUCAUCAAUUUUGAUUGAUGGCUAGAAUGAAAGAGAAAAAAAAAUUGAUGAGAAAUUAUGUGUCUCAACGUGCGGUUAGUAUGAUAGUAGUACUCUUGAAUUAAGUGGUUAGUUGGUUUGAAUAAUAUAAUUUAACAAAUAUAAAUAAACAAAUGGAUAGAUUUUACGGUUGAAAACUUGAUAAUACUAAGUGCUAGCGCUAUUGAUAGUAUAAAAGCUGUACUAUAUAUAUAAUAAUAAUAAUAAUAGUAACAAAGCUGAACCAGUU